GAUGAAGAACGUAGUGAAAUGCGAUACGUAGUGUGAAUUGCAGAAUUCAGUGAAUCAUCGAAUCUUUGAACGCACAUUGCACCUCUCGGUAUUCCGGGAGGUAUGCCUGUUCGAGCGUCAUUUGUACCCUCAAGCUUUGCUUGGUGUUGGGUGUUUGUCCCUCGGGACUCGCCUUAAAGUCAUUGGCAGCCAGUGUUUUGGUUUUGAAGCGCAGCACAAGUCGCGAUUCAAGGCUAUCCGCCCGCUUCCACAAGCCUUUUUCACUUUUGACCUCGGAUCAGGUAGGGAUACCCGCUGAACUUAAGCAUAUCAAUAAGCGGAGGA
rnacentral:misc_RNA from 1 species